UAGGAGAAUUACCAUUUUAGCUGCUGCCAGAAGGUGCGAAACUAGAUUCCGUUUGGAUGGGGCAUAAUCAGGUGUGGGGAGGGCCAGGACCACCAUCUCUAGUUUAAGCUUGAAAUCUGGGGUUGUAAGUUUCUGGAUUAACACUUGCACUUCUCUCCAAUAGGACUUAAUCUGGGGUUCAGGACGGAUCCGUC